rnacentral:lncRNA from 1 species
UAACGUAUAAUAAUAAGUAAAUAACACAAAGUUCAUUAUAAUUUUCCAUUUUGAUACCACACUGAAAACUAGUUUACAGCAAUGACUUAAGAAUAAAUAUAUUGACAAAUUAACAUUUGUAACGCAAAGACUAGUUCCCGCAUCGCAUACUAGAUGGCGCUUCUAGUGUUUAAGCCCGCGCUAGCUUUUGUCCGACAUAAAGCAUAUAUGGACUGGAGACUUAUGUAUUUUUGUAUUUAGUCGUACCUCGGUGUGCACGGACUACUAGGCCACCAAGGAUAUCGGCAGUGUCCGCAGACGUGGACGGCUGAUUAAUUACGAGAAUUAUUUUGUACAUUCUCAAAUUCUCUGAAUAAAUACCUUUAAUCUAUACUAAUAUAAUAA